GCUCCUAUCGUUUAAUGGUUAAGACAAUGCUUUUUCAUGGCGUAAACGUAAGUUCAACUCUUACUAGGAGUG
rnacentral:tRNA from 1 species